rnacentral:rRNA from 1 species
UAAUAAGACUUUAAUUGAGUGCUAAGAGAAUGGAUUUUCAAAAAAAUUCUUUUUUAAGUUUAAAAAUUAAAGUUAUUUUUAUUUGUGAAGAAACAAUAAUAAAAAUUAAAGACAAGAAGACCCUAUGAAUUUUUAUAAACUUUAAUAUUUAAUUAAAUAUUAAAGUUUAUUUAAUUGGGGCGAUUGAGAAAGAUAAAAAACUUUUUUUUAUUUAAAGAGAUCCAUUAUUAAUGAUUUUAUGUAAAAAAUACUCUAGGGAUAACAGCGUAAUAAUUUUAGAUAGAUCUUAUAGAAAAAAUAGUUUGCGACCUCGAUGUUGGAUUAGGAUACUUGUUUAAUGAAGAAGUUAAAUAAAG